rnacentral:misc_RNA from 1 species
GAUGAAGAACGCAGCGAAAUGCGAUAAGUAAUGUGAAUUGCAGAAUCCAGUGAAUCAUCGAAUCUUUGAACGCACAUUGCGCCCGCCAGCAUUCUGGCGGGCAUGCCUGUUCGAGCGUCAUUUCAACCCUCGACCUCCCUUUGGGGAAGUCGGCGUUGGGGACCGGCAGCACACCGCCGGCCCUGAAAUGGAGUGGCGGCCCGUCCGCGGCGACCUCUGCGUAGUAAUCCAACUCGCACCGGAACCCCGACGCGGCCACGCCGUAAAACACCCAACUUCUGAACGUUGACCUCGAAUCAGGUAGGACUACCCGCUGAACUUACGCAUAUCAAUAAGCGGAGGA